rnacentral:lncRNA from 1 species
AAAAGCCCCACCCAUUUCUUAACGAGGAGCUAGCAAGUUGGUGGGCCCUGGCUCUUGCUUUGCUGCCCCUGCCUGGUGAAGGAAAGCUGUCCCAAAGGGGAAGUUUCCCAAAGUUUGUUAGCACUAGGCAGUUCCUUCCAUGUUCAUCUCAGGAGGAAAAAUCUCAAAAUGCCAGCAAGUUGGCUUCAAGGGGCCUUUCAAGGAAACCCUUCGAGGUUUUUCCUGCCUCCUGAAGAUGAUGAGACUUUAGGGUCCCCAGGGCGGCCUUGGCCUGCAGUGCUGGGACGGUCCUACAUGGUCUUGGGUUCAGAGAGAGCCGCCCUGAGAGCCGGGCAGGGGUCAGUCCCGGGGCCCAGAUGGGGACACUGAGCCCAGGAUGUUGAGGCCUCUGGAGGAGUUCUCCCAGCAGCUGGUUAGACAUGAGCUUCUUGAUCUCCACUCCACACCUCCUGCAUCAAAAUCUGAAUAUGAUCAGACCCCACAUGACCCACGUGCACCACUAGUCUAAAGGACCCAUCUCUGAGCGCUCACAGUCAGGAACGAUGGGACUUCCGUUAGAUCUUGGGUUCAGACUUUCUGGAACGCAGGAUGGCAGUGUGUAUGAAGGAGGCUGAAAAAUAUUCAUGCUCUUCGAUCCAGUAUUUCCACUCCUGAGACUAUUGCUUAACGAGAUCAUCAGAGGCAGGGACAAAGGAUGCUGCGCACAGAGACGUUCACUGCAGUGUUACUUGUACUCAGAAACUGCGGCAUGUUCACAGACAGUAAAGGGUGAAGUCAAGUAUGGCACGGUAUACAUCGACUGUUACGUGACGAUGUAAAAUGUCUUUUUAAAAGAACUUGCAGGGAAUGGCGGGGAGUACAGUCAUAAACAAGACAGACACCCUGCCUGCCCCUGGGAGCUGACAUUCUCCUGGGGAAGACAGACAAUGAGCGAGUGGACAGAUGAGAUGGUCUCAGAUGGUGACAAGGAUGCAGAGGGAAGAGUGGGAUAAUGUGGUAGAGGAUCAAGGGGAGUUGGGGAGGGCUAUUCAGGUGGGGGAUACGGGGAGAGCCUGUCCUAGGAGCUGGCAUUCAAAGUGAGAUCCAACGGAUGAGGGAGCCAGUGAAACGAGCAGCCCGGAGAAGACCUUCCGGGCAGGAGGAACAGGACUGACAAGAUGCUGGAGCUGGGGAGCUUGGCGGUGUGAGGGAUGCGAUGGAGGAUGUGAGACUGGAGCAGGGGAAGCCGGGAGAAGCUGGAAGCUGAGGAAGCUGGAGAAGCGAGCAGGGCCAGACCCCUCGGGUCUCGUAGGCUGUGGGUGGACUUUGGGUCUGUUCUGAGGGCUGGAGAUGGGGUACAUGCCACCAUGACACAAACACGGUAAAGCUCUAGUAGCUGACCCUGAGGAAAUGGAGCUCUGCAGAUUGCCUGAAAGCAAAUUCUAAGCAGUCAUGUUAAAGAAGCUCAUGUUAAAGAGCCUCCGCGUCUCAAGCUGAGUGCAUUCCAGAGCCCUACCGUGCAGCACUGUGCCUCUGGGUCAUAGUGCUGGGCUGUGUUCUUACGACUCUGCUCAGAGGGCCCGUCUCAUGUUAGGUAUUCUUAUCACACACACUCACAAAACAAUGACUAACAAGGUGGAGGGAACUUUUGGAGGUCACGGAUGUGUCUAUGGCACAGAUGGUGGUGCUGGUUUCACCGAUGUAUGCUCGUCUCCAAAGUCAUCACAUUGUAUGUGUUAAAUAUAUACAGCUUCUGUUUGUCAAUUACACCUCAAGAAUGUGGUUUAAAAAACAGUAAGAGUGGGUGGAGAGGAAACUGCCUUGGUCUAGAAGCUGCUGCAGGCCUCGUGGACGAGGCGAUUGGGCCACUUUGACAAUCCGUGUCAAGUGAGCAAAGCUCGCACAGAGUGCUAGAAACUGUCAUUUUGACUGUAUAACCAAACGGACAGAACCCAAAGUCCGGGAGGAAACAUGCAAAAAUAUCACAGUGAUGACCUCCGGGCGGUGGGAUUACGUGCGAUUUUUACUUGUUUUUCUUAAGCGUUCCUGUAUUUUUUUCACACAAGACAAACAAUAGAGGUGAUUUCAAAAUCUGAACGUGGGCCAGUCUCACUGAUUAGUUGCAGACGACAGAACACUCUUUCUGGUUUGAGCUGAGGAGAAUCUGUCCAUGGGUGCUAGGACUGAGAAGCCAGGACCAGCAGGGGACCAAGCUUGGAUGCCCCAUGGCCAGGGACAACACUAACAAUGACCUGGACAAUCACUCUCCCCGCCCCAGACUGUUGCCAUGGAAAGCCCACCGCCUGUGAUGCUCAGGCCCAGACCCUGGAGCGUGCUGCUGUGGGACAACCAGGCCCCUGUUCCCUGCCAGCCAGGAGCCCCAUCCUCCACCACCUUGGGCGGCUCACUUCCACCUUUUAAAUCUCGGGCAGGCAUCUGUCCAGAGGAGCUGAGGCCACUGGCAGAUCCCUGGCUGCAAGGGAGUCACGGAGAUGUCGAUGGCAGUUUUUCCAGAGACUCCGUGGCCUAAGCAUGUGCACGUGGAAAGCCUCGUCCCGGCUCUGGAAGUCCUGCUGGGGACAGUCCCUGGGCCGUGAGUCAACAGGUGUGAGGCUGCUUCUGUGACCUCACACCUGCUCACUCCAGUUUGGAAGGUUGUCCCGUUCCUGGUUCUCAUCCUUGUGGGCAGGAACCCAGAGGGCUCCAGGACGCUCCAGGACGCUCUCAGCUGCCCGAUGCGCCCCCCAUGCUGAGGCCAGGACCACGUGUGCACACAGGUGUCAUCCACCCCAGGGUUCCACCCGGCCGUCUCUGCCUCUUCUCCCCAUGUCAUUCAGUGCUCCAUCGGCCCUGCGACUGGUGAUGAAUCUCCAUGGGAUUCAAGGGCAUCCUCUGAAUGUGCCACCCUUGGCGUAAACGGGACUCUGCCGUGGGUCGCUGUUAGUGUGUGAGGUUGGGGCCAGCUUUGUCCUGGGUUCACAGAGCCAACUGUCCCCUGGAGCCUGCUCUGCUGGGCGCACGAGGAUGCUGGCUCUGGCGCAUGGGGACGCAUCCUCUACUACAGAUGUCAGCUGCCCUCCUUCACUGCAGGUCUGCCCCUGAGCAGUGGCUUGCCGCCUAGCGGCAGGGAGCUCACAUUCUCAUGUGAACCUUCAGACAGGGUGAGAGAGGCAGCUUGAUUGAUCAGCUGCUCUGUGCCAGGGGUGUGUCUUGUUUCCUUACAGCUCCUGUGGGCUAACUGUUACUAUCAUCCCCAGUGCACAGAUGUGGAAACCGAGGCUCCUCCAGGUUGGGUGACUCUGAGGUCCCUUGGGGCCGGGGCUGGGGCUGGGACCGGGGAGGCCUGACUCAGGGCCCGUGCUUGUUCCNNNNNNNNNNNNNNNNNNNNNNNNNCUGGCGUGUUCCCGCCUCUCAGACACGGGACGUCAGAGCAAUGGGGCUCCUGGUUUGCUGCAUUGCUGCACCUUGGCCAUUUGUCAAGCAACCUCUGUGCUGUCGUGGCACUGGGGACCCUACUGUGAACCUACAGAUCCCCUGUCCUUGCGGGGGGUUCCCUCUAACGAGGAAGGCAGAGACGGUAAGCAGCCAUAAGCAAGACGGCUCCAGGGGCCCUGAAUGAGGGCUGCCAUGCAGGGGACGGUAGACAGGCUCCGAGGAGGGGUCUGUCUCCUGCUGGGGGAUGAACGACAGCAGCCCAUGUUUAUCAUCUGGGCUGUGUGGGCCAGGAGCCCAGGGGCAGCAGGGCUGGGCGGCUCUGACUCACGGCUGUCGAGGGGUCGGUCAGGAUGUCGGCAGGGGCCGCGUUAUCCCAGGCGGGGAGUCUCCCUCUCAGCUCCCGUAUGUGGCUGGGGGCAGGAGGCGUCGGGUCCUCCCCACGUGGGCCUCUCCACAGGGCCGCUCACAGGCCGGGAGCUGGCUUCCCCGGGGAGAGAUGAAGAUGGAGAUCGAGGUGCACACACACACACGCACACACGUGCACACACACACGAACACGCACACGCACACACGCCCCGCCUGCUUUCCUCCCCCCGCGGCUGGGAUGGAAUGGAAAACAAAACGACGACAAGCACCCUCUCCCGCUGUUCCCGGCUCGCCCUUCCUCCCUGUCCGGGGCUUGCUUUCCUUCAGGCUCCCUGAGAGUGGCCUUGGAGAGCCGUCCAGGUGACAGAGAGCUGUCUGCACCUUGUCCCUGGCCCCUGGGCUAUGGAGACAGCACGAGUUUCUGCCCGCCAUUCCGGUCUUCUGUCAUCUGCCAGCACAGGGGGUGGUGUGCUGGGCACCGACCCCCACCUGGAAUUGCUGGACGGGAGUCCAGUGUCCUUCUAGAACAAGGGGCUUCCAUUCAGGCCGCUGGGACACACAUCGCUGGGAACUCCCUGCUUUGGGUCUCGUUUGCUGCCGGAGAGAGUGCGGGGGCUUGGGUGCUGCCGGGGGUGGCCGGCGGUUCCCCUGCGACAACCGGCCUAGACGUGCAAGGAGCAAAGCGGGGGCUCUCUCCCCCUUCGUAAAAUGAUAAUCCAUCACUGUGGUGGACCAUUGCUCAUUUUUCCGUUUUCAAAUUGUGACAUACACACAGAAGACACACACAACAUCUACGCAUGCGUAUGCCUACGCGUGUGCAUACAGUUUAAAGAUUCGGCUGGUAUAGACGUCUGUAUUCACCUCCCACGUCAGGAAACAGGACCUUUCCAGCCGCCCAGAAGCACUCGUGUUCCUCCUGACAACAGCCCCUCUCCCUGGGGCGACUGGUGCUUGACUUCUGUGACAGCCGUGUCCCUGCUCGGCCUCACAGUCUGGCUCCCCGGGGGGCACCCUCAGCUGAGGCGUGGCGUUUUGCCCGUUUUUCCUCAUUCACGUGGACCGUGAUGCGCGCCCUGUUUGGGGACUGGCUCCCUGGGCGACUCACCCGGCUGCUCGGGGUGCCCAGGGUGCGUGUGUUCCCACGACUGUUUAGCGUCCCUUGUGUGGGUGGGCCACAUGCACGCACUGUCCCAUAGAGACACGCGGGCCCAUUCCAGCUCAGGGCCGAGUCCCACGCUUCACUGGCGUCUAUACCUGGGAGCAGAACUUCUGGGUCCAAAGGUGCUCUGCCCUUCCUGGGCAGGCCGCUGUCUCCUCUGAAAGGGAGCGCGUGUGUGCAGGUCCCGUGCUGAGCUCAGGGAGGGGCAGCGUCCUCCAGGAGGAUCAGCGGCAGACCGGCCUGUGGGGUGGGGAGGGGCCGGCUGCUCAGACAGGGAUGGACGGGGAGGCCUGGCCGAGGGUGUGCAGGCCGGUCAGCGGUGCCCCUGCAUGGAGACGCGUCUGCUGAGAGGGACGAUGGCCGGCGUUAGCUACGCGGAACAACCUGGCGGGAGGAGGCGUGGGCAGGGGCUUUGAGGCUGGGGGCCUCCCUCAGCUCGGCCGACACAACAGAGGGCCAGAGACGGGGCCACGUGAACCACAGAAGUUCAUUUUCCCACAGUGCUGGAGGCUGCAAGCCCCAGAGCAGCGUCUGGCAGGGCGGGGUUCUGGGGGACCCCUCCUCCUGGCGGGUGCCUUCUCCCCACGUCCUCACGUGGUGGAGAGAGAGCUCUCGUGUCCCUUCCUCUUGUCAGAGCACUGGUCCUACCGAGUUAGGGCCCCACCCUCAUGGCCUCAGUUAGCCUUCGGCACCUCCUCACAGGCCCCGUCUCCAGACACUGCCACCUGGGGCCCAGGGCGUCAACAUAGGAAGCUGGGGGGACACAAACAUUCGGUCUGUGACAGGGUGUGAGGGGCAUCUGCAGAACUGGAGCGUGCACGGAGCAAGGGGUGGGGGCUGCUGCGGUCCUCUGUCGUUGUGUAACCAACCAGCCCCAAUGUUAGCGGUUUAAAACGGAAAUCAUCAUUUAUUGACUCAGGAUUUCACAGUUUGGGCCCGGGCCUGGGGGACAGCUCCUCUCCACCCUUCGUGACAUCAGCUGAGGCCUUGCUCCCAAUGCUGGCAAGUUGGUGCUGGCUGACAGCUGGGAGCUGGCGGGGCUGGCGGCCUGGGGCCUUGGUCCUCCUGCGUGUGGCUACAUGGGCUUCCUCUCGGCGUCCUGGUUGUUUCUAAGAGUGAGAGUGUUUCUGAGAGAGAGGUUGGGCCUGAACCCGGCAGGAGUGUCCUUCCUGCCAUCAGAAAAGUCACAGUGUCGAGGUACAGCUCCUGGCCAUUCACACCACAGACCUCGUCUUGGUGUUUUUUGAAUAAAAAUGCUAUCUAUUUAAGGUGCACGGCACGCUUUGGUUCACAGAUGCAUAGUGAAAUGGUUGCUACAAUACAGCUAAUUAACCUGUGCCUCUCCUCACGGCAUUGUCUUUUCUGGCAUGGUAGAAGCACCUGCAGUCUGUUCCUAGCGAAUUUCCAGCAUCUGAGAUACAAAGUUAACCGUAGUCGUCGUGCUCACAUUACGUCCCCGGGCUGACUCACCCUCCUAACUGCAGUGUGAGCCCUUGACCCGGCACCCCCACCCCCCCGCGUCUGCCCCUGUUGACCACACAGGCCUCGUCUUCUCUCGGCCGUGUGCGAUGGGAAACGCCCGCCUCUUAUGUUGGCAUCACCUCCUGGGCUACGUAUCUUCUUGUCCUUGAAGCACAUAUUGCCCUGCUCUUCCCCCAAGCCAGCACCACCCCAAACAAGAUGGGGCUGGAGCACGCCAAAGCUGGGAGAAUCGGGGCCAGCCGUCGCAAACGUGGGCCAUGCCUCUGUGGCCAGGGCACGGGGCUCUCCACAGCUGGAGUUGCAGCCGAGUGUGUGCCUUUCUCUGGGGUGGGGUCCCUGGCCUUGAUCAGAGGCUCUAUGGGGCUCUCAGCCAGAGAAGGGGUGCCGUGAUCGUGACCACGGAUCUGAUCGCACUCCAGCUCUGCCAUGCGGCUGUGAGAGGAGGACGCCGUCUGUCCGUCCUCGCCGAGCCCACCUCCCAGAAGCCACGCUGCUUCACGUGUCUGCUCCCCACAGCCCACUCAGCAGGAGUCCAGGAGGGCAGGCUCCAAAUUCACUCACACUUGUGUUUUCCUUUCUCAACUUUUUCUUGGGGAAAACUUCAGAUAUACACAAAAGUAGGCAAAACGGUAUAAUGGCCACCCUCCCCACGUGCCCAGCUUCUACAUUAUCAGCUCUGAGCCACUCGUGUCAUCUCUCCUGCCCUCCUCCCUCCCCCUUUCAUCUUAUUUCUCUCAAUUUUUUUAUAGACUAGCACACACACUGAAAAGCACUUGUGCCCUAAGUGUGCGCAGGGCGAGCUUUCACACUGUGAGCUCACCUGGGGAAGAUUCUGCUACCCACUUCUGAUGUGUGUAGAGGGAAGUGUUCCCAUACCACCAAGCCGUUCCCUGACCCCUGACAAUUCCCUGACACUUCGCCUCGAUUCUGACCCUCUCCGCGGGGCCAGCAUCACGUUCCACGGGUCGAGGGCUCGGUCCCACCAGGCUGCCUCGACUUCAGAUGCCAGUCGCCAGCCCAGGUUGUCACCUGUGCUUCUGACCAGCAGGAUAUAGAUCAGAGGUUAGCACGAGCCCCACUGUGGGCUCGAUUAAUUUGCUAGAGUGGCUCACAGGACUCAGGAAACCAGUUUACUCACUAGAUUACUGGUUUAUCACAUAAGAUUUCAAGAUGCGAAUCAACAGGCAGAUGAAGAUACACACGGCGAGGUCCCUGACGAAGGAGCUUCUGUCCUCGUGCAGUUCGGGGCCCGGCAGGUGGCCCGCGGAAGCGUGCUAGCUCCCCCCUGGAAGCGCUCUGAACCUCUUUGGGGUUGGAGGUCUUUAUGGAGGCUUCCUUAGAGAAGAAGGAUUGAUUAGCUCAUUGGCCGUUGGUGAUGGAUUCGACCGCCGCCCCCUCUCCCCUCCCAGGAAAUCAGGGGGUGGGAAUGAAAGUUCCGACUGUCCGAUGGAGGUGGGUUCCCCUGGCAGCCAGCCCUCACCUUUAGUGGCUUUAAAAGGUCACCUCAUGAACAUAGACCCAGUUGUGGUAGACGGGGCCGUGCAGCUCGUCUGUACAAUUACUGAAAAGGCAAUUUAACUCCCUUCUCAUUUUGCUUUGUGUAUAUUCGAUAGCUCUUUUCUUUGUGGUUACCGUGAAAUUACACUUAACAUCCUAAAGUCAUAACACUCAAAUGUCAAUUGAUGCCAGCGUCACUUCAGUAACAUAGAGAAACUGGGACCCUAUAGAGCUCUCACGCUGCCUGUUUCAGUUCUUAAUGUCACAGAAUUCCAUCAAUGGCAUUGUGUGUCCAAAAACACAGACUAAGAAUUGGGGUUUUAAUCCUUUAGUCUCUUAAUGCAGAAAACAAGAAGAGGAGGUACAAGCCAAAGUUAGAAUAGUUCCAGCUUUUGUAGUCGUCUCCUACUUACUUGAGCAGAGACCUUCAUUUCUGCCCGAGGCGUCGAGUGCCCGUCCGCGUCCUCUCCUUCCAGCCUGAAGGACUCCCUUCCUCGGAGGUGGGUCUGGUGGACAGCGCUCUCUGAGCCGUGCUUUUCUGGGAACGUCUUGGUUGCUCCCUCAUUUUGGAAGGACUGCUCUCCAGAUAGAGGUUCCUGGUCGGAUUCUUUUCCUUCUGCACUUUGAGUACAUCAGCCCUUGCCCUCUGGCCUCCAGGGUUUCUGGUGAGGAAUCUGCUCGUGGUCUCCCUGGGGAAGUAGGAGGAAAGCUCUCUUCCCCUCAGCUCUGUGAACGUUAAUGAUGCCCCUUCUCAGGUCUCAUGCAACAGAACGUUUUCCUAUAGGACUAUAACAGCCCUUCAGGGGUACGAUCAUUUUGAAACUAAUCAGAGUUUAAGGAAAAGGAGUUGUGUAUUUUUUUUUUUAAAGAUUUUUUAUUUUUUCCUUUUUCUCCCCAAAGCCCCCUGGUACAUAGUUGUAUAUUCUUCGUUGUGGGUCCUUCUAGUUGUGGCAUGUGGGACGCUGCCUCAGCGUGGUUUGAUGAGCAGUGCCAUGUCCGCGCCCAGGAUUCGAACCAACGAAACACUGGGUCGCCUGCAGCGGAGCGCGCGGACUUAACCACUUGGCCACGGGGCCAGCCCCAAAAGAUUUUAAAUUUUAUGAGGUCCAAUUUGUCUAUUUUCACUUUUGUUGCCCUUGCCUUUGGUGUUAG